AUGGAUCGAAGGACGACGGAAAGUCUGGUCUAUGCGCGGCAGUGGAGUGGGGGAUCAAGCAGUACAGGCUCAUCGUCGCCUGCAGGAUCACCGGCGCAUCCACGAUCGAGGCUACCGCCGGCCACAGGGGGGAUGUCUACUAUUAAAAGGACUCAGAACGUUGCUGCCAAGGCCGCCGCGCAGCGACUGGCUCAGGUCAUGGCUUCGCAGGUCACCGCCGAUGACGAUGACGAUGAUGAUGAUCUUGGAUUUCGGUUUGCUGGUGCUCCGCCGCCUGCCAGCGGUUUUUCUAGUAAUGUGAAUAGUAGCAGAGUUGAUAGGAACAGUCACAGUGGAUUCCCGGCUGCUUCGCUUGCCAAACCGAAUAGAUCUCCUUCACCUGCGUUAGGUCGGAACUUUAUGGAUCACACGCCUUCAGUACGUUCCACUUCUGCUGGAAGGCCUUCAAUGUCUGUUCGUUCAACCACCACUACUGUUUUGCCCCAGAAUAAAACAACACUGAGAACUCCAGUUACCAUCCCGCCAAUAGAACCUCCAAGUAGCAGAUUACGAGAAAAGAGGCUCACACCAGAUGUUGGACUAGUUGACUUGAAAGCUUCUGGAAAUGAACAUGAAGCUUCUGCACUUCAAGAUGAACUUGACAUGAUACAAGAGGAAAAUGAACUUAUUCUUGACAAGCUUCGUCAUGCAGAAGAAAAACGUGAAGAAGCCGAAGCUAGGGCCAGGGAGUUGGAGAAACAGGUUGCUGCUCUGGGGGAUGGAGUAUCUCUAGAAGCUAAGCUGUUGAGCAGGAAGGAAGCAGCAAUUCGGCAAAGAGAGGCAGCUCUUAAAGCUGCGCAGCAGACAAAGGAUGGGAGAGAUGAACAAAUUUCAUCUCUACGUGCUGAGAUUGAGAAUUUAAAAGAUGAGACAGUGAAUACCAUGGAGCAGCUGCGAGAAGCUGAAUCUGAAGCAAAAGCUCUACGUGUUAUGACCCAAAGAAUGAUUUUGACUCAUGAAGAAAUGGAGGAGGUUGUUCUGAAGAGGUGCUGGCUUGCUCGCUAUUGGGGCUUAGCUGUACAUUAUGGUAUUUGUACUGAUGUAGCAGCUUUGAAACAUGAACACUGGUCAUCUCUGGCACCUCUUCCAUUUGAAGUUGUCAUUUCUGCUGGACAAAAAGCGAGGGAAGAGUCUCGGAAUGGUGGAGAUGAUACAGAAAGAAGGAACAAACAUGUACGGAAUUUAAGUGACUUAACAGGGGAAGGAAAUAUUGAGAGCAUGCUUUCAGUUGAAAUGGGCUUAAGGGAAUUAGCUUCCUUGAAGGUUGAGGAUGCUGUUGUCUUAGCACUUGCCCAACACCGACGUUCAAGUUUGGUUCGUCAUUCUUUCUUGGAACCUAAAUCAACUAUUGAGACGAAAUAUAUGGAGCCGUUUGAAUUAAGUCAAGAAGAGUCGCAAGAUGUUCUCUUCAAGGAGGCUUGGCUUGCGUACUUUUGGAGAAGAGCCAAAGAUCAUGGUGUUGAAGAGGAUAUAGCUGACGAGAGACUUCAGUUCUGGAUAAGCCGUAGUGCACAAUCGCCAACAUCACAUGAUGCCGUUGAUGUUGAACGAGGCCUAACAGAGCUGAGGAAAUUGGGAAUAGAACAGCAGCUGUGGGAAGCCUCUCGCAGGGAAUUAGAACAGCAAUCUAUUCCGACUUUGAUGCCAGGUGUCGAAUCUGACAAUUCGUCAUGAUCCACUUGCACUUCAUAGGUGGCAAGCGGGGUUUAUUUAACCGUGAAACCAAGUCGGAUGUGACUUCAGAAUUGGGCUGGGAAUGUCUGCUUUAAGCUGAUGACCGCUAAACCAGCAAUUGAUGACGCAGGAGAUGCGGGUUUACUAAAUCAUUCAGAAAAAACUCGUAUUACAUCAGGUGAGGUAAGACAUGAAGCUGGAGAACAUUUGAGUGGUCAUCGCGGAAGGGGAGCCAGAUUUCCACUCGAAUACUGGCUAGCAUCUUCAUAUUCCACCGACCCGGAAAGUGAUGUCCAAAUUUGCCCAGUCAAGCGACAAUCUUCACUAACGAAUCUUCAAACAGUGUAUAUUGUUGUUUCCCAGCUCGACUUUAUAAAAAGAGCAAAUCAGGAGUCAUUUAAGUGCUGGAGGUUGGAAGUGCAUAUAUUUUGUUUC